rnacentral:rRNA from 1 species
UUGAACGCUGGCGGCAUGCUUUACACAUGCAAGUCGAACGGCAGCACGGGGGCAACCCUGGUGGCGAGUGGCGAACGGGUGAGUAAUGCAUCGGAACGUACCCAGUCGUGGGGGAUAACGCAGCGAAAGUUGUGCUAAUACCGCAUACGACCUGAGGGUGAAAGCGGGGGACCGUAAGGCCUCGCGCGAUUGGAGCGGCCGAUGUCUGAUUAGCUAGUUGGUGGGGUAAAGGCCCACCAAGGCGACGAUCAGUAGCGGGUCUGAGAGGAUGAUCCGCCACACUGGGACUGAGACACGGCCCAGACUCCUACGGGAGGCAGCAGUGGGGAAUUUUGGACAAUGGGCGAAAGCCUGAUCCAGCAAUGCCGCGUGCAGGAUGAAGGCCUUCGGGUUGUAAACUGCUUUUGUACGGAACGAAAAGUCUCGGGAUAAUACCCUGGGACCAUGACGGUACCGUAAGAAUAAGCACCGGCUAACUACGU